rnacentral:rRNA from 1 species
UUAAAGUAAUAAUUAAUAAAUAUAAAUAAAUAAUAAAAGUAAUUUUAAUAUUAAAAUAAAUAAUGGGGGUUAAAGUAUUUUAAUAGAAAAAAUUAUAAAAUUUAUAGUAAAUUAGUAUAAAAAUAGAAAUUUGAAAUAAUAAUGAAAAUAAAUUUUAUAAAAAGUAAAUUUAAUUUAUUGUAUCUUGUGUAUCAGAGUUUAUUAAUUAAAUUUUUAUGAAAUAAAAUAUCUCGAAUUUAAAAGAGUUAAUUAAUUAAUAAAUUUAAUGUAAUAUAAUUAUUUUAAAUAAUUAAUUUGAAAUGAAAUGUUAUUCGUUUUUAAAUAUAUCUAGUUAUUUUAGAAAAAAAUUUAAUUUUAAAUUUAUUUUAUUUAUUAUUAAAUAAAUUAAUAAUAAAAAAAAAUAAAUUUUAUAAUUUAAGGGAUAAGCUUUAAAUUAAAUUAUUAUAAUAAAUGAAAAAAAUAUUUAAAAUUUUUAAAAUUUAAAUUGUUUAUAAAUUAAAAUUUAUUAUAAAAAAUUUUAUUAAAAAUAAAAUUUAAUUAAAAUUUAAUUUUUUAUAAAAUUAUAAUAAUUAAUAAUAAAUUGUUAGUAAUAAUGAUAAAAUUAGUAUAAAUAAAUAAAUUAAAUAAAUUAAUUUAAAAGUUAAUUAAAAGGAAUUCGGCAAAAUUAUAUAUUCACCUGUUUAACAAAAACAUGUCUUUUUGAAAAUAAUUUAAAGUCUAAUCUGCCCACUGAUUUAAUUAUUGAAGGGCUGCAGUAUAUUGACUGUACAAAGGUAGCAUAAUCAUUAGUCUUUUAAUUGAAGACUUGUAUGAAGGAUUUGAUGAAAUAUAGACUGUCUCUUAAUUAUUUGUAGAAUUUAAUUUUUUAGUUAAAAAGCUAAAAUAAAUUUAAAAGACGAGAAGACCCUAUAGAGUUUUAUAAUUAAAUUUUUAAAAUAUUUAUAUAAAAUUUUAAUAUUUUAAAAAUUUAAUUAUUAUGUUGGGGUGAUAAAAAAAUUAAUUUAACUUUUUUUAAUUUUAAACAAUAAUAAAUGAAUAAAUGAUCCAUUAUAAUGAUUAAAAGAAAAAAUUACCUUAGGGAUAACAGCGUAAUAUUUUUUUUUAGUACGAAUAAAAAAAAAAGUUUGCGACCUCGAUGUUGGAUUAAGAUAAAAUUUAAAUGCAAAAGUUUAAAAUUUUGAUCUGUUCGAUCAUUAAAAUCUUACAUGAUCUGAGUUCAAACCGGUGUGAGCCAGGUUGGUUUCUAUCUUUAAAUAAAUAAAAUAUUUUA